rnacentral:rRNA from 1 species
UACGUAGGGGGCAAGCGUUGUCCGGAUUUAUUGGGCGUAAAGAGCGUGUAGGCGGCUAGGUAGGUCCGUUGUGAAAACUCGAGGCUCAACCUCGAGACGCCGAUGGAAACCAUCUAGCUAGAGUCCGGAAGAGGAGAGUGGAAUUCCUGGUGUAGCGGUGAAAUGCGCAGAUAUCAGGAAGAACACCGAUGGCGAAGGCAGGUCUCUGGACAGUUCCUGACGCUGAGGCACGAAGGUCAGGGGAGCAAACGGG